rnacentral:rRNA from 1 species
AUUGAACGCUGGCGGCAGGCCUAACACAUGCAAGUCGAACGGUAACAGGAAGACGCUUGCUUCUUUGCUGACGAGUGGCGGACGGGUGAGUAAUGUCUGGGAAACUGCCUGAUGGAGGGGGAUAACUACUGGAAACGGUAGCUAAUACCGCAUAACGUCGCAAGACCAAAGAGGGGGACCUUCGGGCCUCUUGCCAUCGGAUGUGCCCAGAUGGGAUUAGCUUGUUGGUGGGGUAACGGCUCACCAAGGCGACGAUCCCUAGCUGGUCUGAGAGGAUGACCAGCCACACUGGAACUGAGACACGGUCCAGACUCCUACGGGAGGCAGCAGUGGGGAAUAUUGCACAAUGGGCGCAAGCCUGAUGCAGCCAUGCCGCGUGUAUGAAGAAGGCCUUCGGGUUGUAAAGUACUUUCAGCGGGGAGGAAGGGAGUAAAGUUAAUACCUUUGCUCAUUGACGUUACCCGCAGAAGAAGCACCGGCUAACUCCG